GUUAGUGCUACAAAGAAAGCAGGAGUGAAAAGAUAUAGAGAUUAAGAAAUAUAUGUAAGAAAAUUAAUCAAGAAACAACGGUGUGGAUAUUAGCAUUGAAUGUUGUUUCUUUGUUAUUACAGAGAAACAAUUCUACCUAUUAUCUACCCAUAACCUGCACAAUAAAUAAGACAUUAUA
rnacentral:lncRNA from 1 species